rnacentral:lncRNA from 1 species
UCAUAUUAAGCCAAAUAUGAGUGCGACAGUUUGGUGCAUUUGUAAAAGUACUCAAUAUGGUUUCAUAUCUUCUUCCCUUAAAAACAUGGCAUUUAAUAGUAAAGAAACUAUACAUCAUUAACAAGCCAACCCUUCAUUUUCUUGCUUUAAAAAAAUUAAUUUAUCUCUAUGACACCUGCAGAUAGUCCUCAACAACUAGAUGUUGAUGAGGUUGGUUUCUCUGAGGACAAGAACUAUGCCCUAAAUGGAAAGAUAAUGUUUCUGGUUCUUGUCGUACUUUUCUCUCUUUUCAUGGUGCUCAUCUUCAUGAUACCGUAUUUGAAGAAGCGUGCUAGGCUUUCUCACGAAUCAGAAACAAGUUAUGGAGAUUCAAUGGCAGAAUCAAACAGGAUUGCUUAUACACUCAAGAGAAAAUCUCCCAUUUAACAUACUUUGUGUGUAUGCAUGUCUUCACUCUUCCAAUCUCAUGGAGCAGAAGAUAAGUGUUAAUUUGAUCAACUUUUUUUUUUAUUUGUUGAAAGUUUAGUUAAGAUAAUUGUAUCAUAGUGUGUGUGGAUAUGCAAAACUUCUUGUCACUAAUGUGUGGUUGUUUGUUUUCCAAGUAGUAAAUGUCAUGCUACAUGCAUUUUAAUUAUGGUAUACAAAAAUGUAGUCAUGUCAUGUCAACAUCCUUGUGGUAUAUCAAUUUAAUUUUUACUUUUAGUACUUGUGCUUAACUUAUUCCUCUUCUUUGUUGAAGUUUGAGGGCAGUACAUUUGACAAAGAGCAAUGAUACAUAGACACCUUUAAUAUGUACACUUUUUUGUAUCACUUUGAAAAAUAUCAGUUAACUAAAUAUAUGGUUUGUGUGACCACAUUGUUUUAGUUGUGUGACCACUAAUUUUCCAGAAUUUAUUUGGUUAAGUAAGUGGAAAAAUAGUGGUCACGCGCAUUUUAAUUGCGUGACCACAUUAUUCAGCUUCUAAAUAGUGGUCCCAGAAUUGGAAAAAUGUGGCCACACAAACCAUAUAUUUGAUUAACUGAAAAUUUUCAGAGUUAUACAAAGAGGUGUACACGUAUCUACCAAUCUUUAUUCUUUGGCAAAAGUCAACAUUGCUUGUGAGGUUUUUUAGUAUUUUAUUGUGACGAAUUAGUUUUCUAUGUAUUUUUUGAACUCAUAUACAAAAGACUUUAUGUUUUAUACACCAAUUUAACACCUCUUUUUUUAUUACUUUAUCAUAUUUAUCACAUGCAUGAGUCUACAUAAAUUAUUUUUCGAAAAACCAUGCGACUUUUCACAAUAAGAAUAUGAGUGUUUUAAUACUUAUGUGGCAAAGAAUGUCAAUAGGGUGGGGUGGAAGCGGGGACUGGGAGUACUUUCUCCCUCACCACCCCAGCACACAAAUUAUCCCCCAUAUCCACAUUCUCCAUCACCAGGUUUUUCUUCCCAUUCCCCAUCCCCCCAAAUACUCAUCAACAUGAAGGAAAUUUUUUUUUGAAUAUAAAUUAUUUUUAAUUAGUUAGCUGGUAAACAGAAGAUUUAACCAUAUAACAAAUAUAAUAUUGAUGCAUUAUUGUAUACAUCAUAUAUAAAAGAUUUUUCUACACAUAUUGUUUGAAAAGACUAAUAUAACAUAGAAAAUAUUUGUAUAUUAUAUAAAUAUAAAUAAAUUUUAGGCUUUAUUUGAGAGUUUGGAUGGAAAGAUAGAGGAGAGCUUCAGAGGGAUGAGAAUAGAGGAAAAAAUAGAGGUCUUUCAAUUAUUUUUUAGAGUGUUUUUCUUGUGAAUGAUAAAAUGAUACUUAUGAUUAAUGUACUUUUAAAUUUGUGUGUAUUAAAACAAUAAAUAUAUUUUGUAUUUGGAAAAUUUAUCAAAACACCCUCCAAAACUCUCUUUCAAUACAGCUUUUUAGUUCCCCUAAGUUAUAUUAUGACGGAAACUAAGCCCUCCCCUCCCAAAGAACUCCAAUAUUCUUUUCACUUCUUUCUUCAUUUUUUUAAGGCCCCCUUCCUUUCCCCUCAAAAUUAUCAAACACAACUUUAAUGAAUUUAUAGGGAACGGGGUCCAGGUGGGUCCUUCCCCAUUUCCACAUUGUAACAUCCCAGACGACUUUAAUUAUUGUUAACUAACCCCACAAACCAACAUGAGUCUUUUGAGUGUAUUUUGUCUUCACUUGCACGCUAUCCAGGAAACAUCCUGAAAGAUCACCCAUCCCAAAAUUGUUUUAAGUCAAAUACAUUUAACUGUCGAGUUCUAAUGGAAUGAGCUACCAUAAAGAAGAUGCAUCUUUUUGGUAUAUGUAGUAACAAAAAAUUCUUAUAAAUCGUCCUUCAACCAUGCAAUAUCAUAUAUGCACUGCCUUAAGAACCGUCUUAUUUUGAUGUAAAUUCGGUUGCUUAGAAGUUGUUUGGAGCCGCUCAUUGGCAUUCCUCAUGCACCGACGAUCACAUCCCGUCCUUGUCAGCCUCGGGCGUAACAUACAUUAUCCUGGGUGGGUUUUCUCCCAAUCCUUGUCCCCACGGGAAGAAACUUCCUGCCUGCGAAUCUUCAUUGGGAUAAUCCUCGCUGGUUCUCCAUUUACAUAUGUAAUUAGUUGACAUUUCUAGGUAAUUUCGAUGAGACUUUCACUAAAAAAAUCAUAUUUAAGUUUAAUUUUUAUUAGAGAAUCCAAUAAAAAAUACGACUCGAGGAUUGUCCCUAAUUGUGCAAGUCAAGACGAUUAGCUACGGCAUCUUCAGAAUAAAAUAAUUGGUUUAAAUCAUUAUGGGUCUACACUUUGAAAAUUGAACCAACAAAAAAUGGUGGGACAUACAUUGAUUUCAUCCAAUAAAAGAGUAAGUGCUAGAGAGAGUGUUGAAAAGUGAAUGUGCUGAUAUUCCUCUUUUAGUAUCUGACGACUACUAGAAGAAGAAAACACCAUAAGUAUAUUUGCAGCUUACAUAUCACAUGUUACUAAAUCCAAUAAUAAAAAACAAAGCCACCAUGGGCCACUUGGUUCUGAGGCAUACUGCACCUCAUUAUACUCGCACACAAUAAUUAAUCCCAAUUAUCAUCAAAGAAGAAAAUUAUAAACAAAACAAAACAAGGAAAGUUAGGAUAUUUUGUUUCAUAUUAAGCCAAAUAUGAGUGCGACAGUUUGGUGCAUUUGUAAAAGUACUCAAUAUGGUUUCAUAUAUUCUUCCCUUAAAAACUUGGCAUCAUUUACAAGCCAACCCUUAAUUUUCUGGCUUAACAAAAAUAAUUUAUCUCUAUGACACCUGCAGAUAGUCCUCAACAACUAGAUGUUGAUGAGGUUGGUUUCUCUGAGGACAAGAACUAUGCCCUAAAUGGAAAGAUAAUGUUUCUGGUUCUUGUCAUAGUGUUCACUCUUUUCAUGGUGCUCAUCCUCAUGAUACCGUAUUUGAAGAAGCGUGCAAGGCGUUCUCAUGAAUCAGAAACAAGUCUUGGAGAUUCAAUGGCAGAAUCAAACAGGAUUGCUUAUAACAUCAAGAAAAAAUCUCCCAUGUAACAUACUGUGUGUGUAUGCAUGUCUUCACUCUUCCAAUCUCAUGGAGCAGAAGAUAAGUGUUAAUUUGAUUAACUUUUUUUUUUUUAAGUUGUUGAUAGUUUUGUUAAGAUAAUUGUAUCGUUGUGUUGUGGAUAUGCAAAACUUCUUGUUACUAAUGUGUGGUUGUUUGUUUUCCAAGCAGUAAAUGUCAUGCUACAUGCAUUUUAAUUAUGGUAUACAAAAAUGUAGUCAUGUCAUGUCAACAUCCUUGUGGUAUAUCAAUUUAAUUUUUACUUUUAGUACUUGUGCUUAACUUAUUCCUCUUCUUUGUUGAAGUUUGAGGGCAGUACAUUUGNN